GGGGGGGGAAAUGGUGGACUGCAUUGUUUGGCGACCCCCGUGAAAUGGUCGUUCGACCCCAAAUGGGGUCCCGACCCACAGGUUGAGAACCACUGCUUUAGCUGCUUCUACAGGACAUUUAGUAUGCUAAUGUUGUUCACUGAUAAGAUUAGCGAAGGAGAUUCUCUAGCAAACGAAAGAUGUUUAAAUUCUGUGAAACUGACUUUUCAGCUAUAUCCAACCCUUUAUCAAUCAAACAAUGAGAACUGAUUCUCACAAAUAACAAACAUCUAAAGCUGAAAAAGCUUCUUGAAUGAGAAGCGAAAUGUCUUCAAAGAAAAGCAAAGUCCAGUUGCCUCUUGAAAAAGCACCUUUGGGACAUGACCUGGAUGUCUGAGAAUAUAGACAUUUAACAAACAUCUAGUUAUUAAAGAAAAUACUUUAAUUUACAGGAGAAGGGGGAUCGACUGUACUGCCCAGAAGUUAGUCAGUGGAGGUUGGGGAGGGUUAUUUUAAAUACCUUGCUGCUACUUAUGUAGCAACUGUGCUUUAAUUCCUUCCACUUGUUCCAAAACUUUUCAGCAUAAUGUUAUUUCUAUAUAUAACAUGGCAGGGGGCAAAGAAGCUUUGGGGCUGCAAUAUCAGCUGUUAUGGAGACAGAAUUAAAUAUUUUAUAUAUCUACACAUAACUGCCGCAUAUUAGACCCAUUUCUCUUACAUGGACAAAUUCACACGUAGGUUAUUUGAUUCUUCUGAGUGAAUGCAAGUGUAAGUAUACCACAGAUUCAGGCUGAUAUCCAGCCUAUAAUCUGAAGACCACGUGUGCUCCCUGGUGUGGUUAGAGAGAGAGAGGGAGGAAAGGAAGGAAGUUACUUCCAUCUAUUUCAAAAUCUUGGGAGAUCACCAGGUCUCCUAAAAUGUUGGCAUCCUUGCGUAGAACCUAAUGAGCUUUAAGAUAUAAUCUCAUGGUAAUCUGAGAUUGGAUCUGUUCUCGUGCAAAAAAAACACAAAAACAAGUUGUUCACAGAUUACUGUACACUCACUGCAUUACAAUGGCCUUAAAAAGCAUUUAAUGACAGUGAAUUCAGCUAGAUAAAACAUUUUGGAACUGCUGCUCUAAAUCAGCAGCCUCUUAGCACUUCAAUCAGUUAGGUAAAAUAAACUUGGGAUUCCUUUUAUACUUGGUAUUAGCAAAAGUUGCUCUUCCGUUCUAAAGAACUGGCCCUCAGGCGGGCAGUCAUCUGCUGUUAGACUUAUUGUAGUUACGCCAUUCUGAAUAUUUUGUCCUGCGUCUUUACCCACUAGCACUAUCAUUCUCUUGUUUCCUCAUUAUGUCAGCCCUGAGGUAACAUAGAAGGAAGGGCUUGCUUUUCCUGAAUAGUUUGAGUGAACUGCUUAGAACAGGGGUCCCCAACCUCCGUGGCUACUUAGGAACCGGGACGCGCUGCUGGAGAUGCACUGAAGGCACGUCUUCCACCUCCAACUAUGCAAGUCUGCAGGAGUCGGUGCUGGGGAGGGAGAGUGGUGGACCAGAAGCUGUCUUACCCAGUGCAAAGGUCCUCCGGGCAGCUGAGCUUCCUCCUCUGGCUCCCUUCAUGCAGCUCUCCAAGUUUGCAAGACAAGCAGGCGUGCAACCGGGGGUUCCCCCAAAGCUUUGUUAAAGGGAGACUCCCUCCCCCAAGGCCCCCAAACUCUAAAUGGACUCUACUUAAAAAUGUAGAGUUGCACGCACCGGAGAAGUGACUUCGCCUUGGCAAAGUGCUUUCCCAUCUAUGAACGCCUCCCAACUCCAAGCACCCACAUCUCCUUCAGCUUCAUAGCAACGCAUGACAUUGUGCCUCCGAAAUCACCUGCCCCUCUCCGUGACAGCUUCGCUAAGAAUCCUGGUUUCCUCCCAGCCGAGUCGAGAGCCUCACUUCCUCGCCUCGCUUGCAGGUUCGCAUACGCGAAGUCCCUCAAAUGAAUCCCAUCCUUGUCUUAGAAUCACGUGACUGGAAGGCUUCCUCCCCAUCGCCUGUCAUUUCCUGAUAGAGAAAAAGGCUCGUCUUCUACUAUUCUCCGCCCCUUCGCACCAGCGAUUAACUGCUCCUCCCACUUUUGCGUUCCACCCAAUGACAAAGCCUAGAAUUCCCUUUUCCUUUUUGCUACUAUUCUCCGGCCCACUCAUCAAGCGAUUGGCUGCUCUUCUUAAUUUUUGCGUUCCACCCAAUGACAAAGCUUAGAACUCCCUUUUCAUUGCCUCGCCUUGCGAUGAAAGGUGUCGCUGUCCUUUCUUUCCCUUACUUCGAUGACAUUUUUUUUUUCAAUGAUCUUUCAGGGAGAAUGUUACGCACUUGGUAUCUAUGCCGAUGUUAUUGUAAUCCACUUCGAGACGUCUGUUAACAAUAAAAACAGCGUUAGGCGCCUAUUUAAAUUAAAGUACUUCCAAAUAAUUCCACUUUCUCACCACUUUCCACUUGCUCACGUGAUUGGGGUAGGUUUCUUCCCUGCCCGAAACCCUUAGUCUCCCGACUGAGUUGCAAAGCUUGGCUGGGUGAUUUUGAGGCAGUCACUACUCUCUCUCAGCCCAACCCACUUCACAGGAUUGUUGUGAGGGAAAAUGAGGAAGAAAUAUGAGGUACGUUUGCCACCUUGAGCUACUUACAAAGUAAUAAAAGCGGCACAAAAAACCAAAAAUUAAUAAAAAAAACGAGGAUGCAGCAAAAAGAGCAAUUUACAACAAUCAUGCCAAUCACUGCAGUAAUAUAUUCAAAGUUGAAAGUAAAGUUUAAAAUUCUCAAAUAAAAAUAAAAUAUUGUCCUUACACCA